AUACUUACCUGGACGGGGUCAAUGGGUGAUCACGAGGGCCCAUGGCCUAGGCUGAUAACUUUCAUUGCACUUAGAAAGGGUGUCUGUCUAAGGUCUAUCCAAAUGAUAGAGCCUACGUCAUAAUUUGUGAAAGUGGGGGCCUGCGUUCGCGCGGCCCUUG